UACGCAGUCUAGCGAUGUCUGGUGCGUGUGUUGUGCCGCAGUUUUUUGGUUCGGAGCCUUGCGCGUUCUUCACGUUGUUUCUGGUUAGUGCGGUACGAAGGCCAUGCUGGUGAAGGAGAUUGGAGCUUACAAUGACCCUUGCCGUACUAUAGAUGUCGAGUGUAAUGGUUUCCCUUUCUUGCGUCGUGUGAUAGUGUGCACGCGUGACUUGGGUUCAGUGUGCGGUUUUGAAGAAACUGGGCAGCCCUACUGCCAUUAGAGAUUUGAGCGCCGGCCGAGACCACCACUGCUGAUACGACGACGCGACUAUAAAUAGUUGCCUUAGUGGACCACAUGAACUAGUGAAGCUCAUGUUGGUGGAAGCGAGUUAAUCGAAGCCACUGCGCAUGCGCAGCCACUGAACCAAUAGAGGAGUGGUGCCUGCCACGUGAUGCCCAAACGUCGAUAUAAAGGGAAGCGUGGGCAACAUGAAUCAACGACAACCGGCCAGAAACGUGACAAAGACUUGGUGCAACUUUUGGCUUUGAAGGUUGCAAAGGACAACAGAUGGCCCCCGUGAUGACUUCCGUGGUUGCCCUCCUAGCUCUGCUCUUAGUGCUGGACUGCAGUUUCGCGAAGGCGCUCAGCGGGGACGCGUUACGCUCUUCGGAC